AGGCUUUGACGGGUUAUCGCAAGCGGGACUUUUAAUCCGUUGGUCACAGGUUCAAGUCCUGUACGGCCUACCA
rnacentral:tRNA from 2 species